CAGACACGUGGGUAACCUACCUAUAAGACUGGGAUAACUUCGGGAAACCGGAGCUAAUACCGGAUAAAAUUGUGCAACCUCAUGGUGAAACAGUGAAAGACGGUUUCGGCUGUCACUUAUAGAUGGACCCGCGGCGCAUUAGCUAGUUGGUGAGGGGCAUACGGCUCACCAAGGCGACGAUGCGUAGCCGACCUGAGAGGGUGAUCGGCCACACUGGGACUGAGCGGCCCAGACUCCUACGGGAGGCAGCAGUAGGGAAUCUUCCGCAAUGGACGAAAGUCUGACGGAGCGUGAGUGAAGAAGGUUUUCGGAUCGUAAAACUCUGUUGUAAGGGAAGAACAAGUACGUUAGUAACUGAACGUACCUUGACGGUACCUUACCAGAAAGCCACGGCUAACUACGUGCGCAGCCGCGGUAAUACGUAGGUGGCAAGCGUUAUCCGGAAUUAUUGGGCGUAAAGCGCGCGUAGGCGGUCUCUUAAGUCUGAUGUGAAAGCCGGUACCCCGGCUCAACCGGGGAGGGUCAUUGGAAACUGGGAGACUUGAGUGCAGAAGAGGAGAGUGGAAUUCCAUGUGUAGCGGUGAAAUGCGCAGAGAUAUGGAGGAACACCAGUGGCGAAGGCGGCUCUCUGGUCUGUAACUGACGCUGAGGUGCGAAAGCGUGGGGAUCAAACAGGAUUAGAUACCCGUAGUCCACGCCGUAAACAGUGCUCCGUGAGUCGUGUUGGGGGGUUUCCGCCCCUCAGUGCUGCAGCUAACGCAUUAAGCACUCCGCCUGGGGAGUACGGUCGCAAGACUGAAACUCAAAGGAAUUGACGGGGACCCGCACAAGCGGUGGAGCAUGUGGUUUAAUUCGCAACGCGAAGAACCUUACCAAAUCUUGACAUCCUCUGACAACUCUGGAGACAGACCCUUCGGGGGAGGUACCAGAGUGACAGGUGGUGCAUGGUUGUCGUCAGCUCGUGUCGUGAGAUGUUGGGUUAAGUCCCGCAA
rnacentral:rRNA from 1 species